rnacentral:rRNA from 1 species
UCCUACGGGAGGCAGCAGUGGGGAAUUUUUCGCAAUGGGGGAAACCCUGACGAAGCAACGCCGCGUGGAGGACGAAGGCCCUCGGGUCGUAAACUCCUGUCGAUCGGGAAGAAUGCGUGCGGGUUAAUACCCCGUUGCGUUGACUGUACCGGUGGAGGAAGCCACGGCUAACUCUGUGCCAGCAGCCGCGGUAAGACAGAGGUGGCAAGCGUUGUUCGGAAUUACUGGGCGUAAAGGGCGCGCAGGCGGUUCGUCAAGUCCCGUGUGAAAUCCCCCGGCUCAACUGGGGAACUGCGCGGGAAACUAGCGGGCUUGAGUUCGGGAGAGGAAAGCGGAAUUCCGGGUGUAGCGGUGAAAUGCGCAGAUAUCCGGAGGAACACCAGUGGCGAAGGCGGCUUUCUGGACCGACACUGACGCUGAGGCGCGAAAGCUAGGGGAGCGAACGGGAUUAGAUACCCCGGUAGUCCUAGCCCUAAACGUUGAGCACUGGGUGUAGGGGGUAUGAACCCCCCCUGUGCCGAAGCUAACGCAUUAAGUGCUCCGCCUGGGGAGUACGGUCGCAAGGCUGAAACUCAAAUGAAUUGACGG